AUUGAACGCUAGCGGGAUGCCUUACACAUGCAAGUCGAACGGCAGCACGGACUUCGGUCUGGUGGCGAGUGGCGAACGGGUGAGUAAUGUAUCGGAACGUGCCCAGUAGCGGGGGAUAACUACGCGAAAGCGUAGCUAAUACCGCAUACGCCCUACGGGGGAAAGCAGGGGAUCGUAAGACCUUGCACUAUUGGAGCGGCCGAUAUCGGAUUAGCUAGUUGGUGGGGUAAUGGCUCACCAAGGCGACGAUCCGUAGCUGGUUUGAGAGGACGACCAGCCACACUGGGACUGAGACACGGCCCAGACUCCUACGGGAGGCAGCAGUGGGGAAUUUUGGACAAUGGGGGAAACCCUGAUCCAGCCAUCCCGCGUGUGCGAUGAAGGCCUUCGGGUUGUAAAGCACUUUUGGCAGGAAAGAAAUGGCGUGUGUUAAUACCAUGCGCAGAUGACGGUACCUGCAGAAUAAGCACCGGCUAACUACGUGCCAGCAGCCGCGGUAA
rnacentral:rRNA from 1 species